rnacentral:tRNA from 1 species
GCUAGAAUAGCUCAAUUGAUUAGAGCACGUGAUUAUUAAUCACAAGGUUGAAGGUUUAACCCCUUCUUCUAGGCU